AUGGACUGGGGCUGGAGAGCCCUCUUCCUGGUGGCAGUGGCUACAGGUGUCCACUGCCAGGAGCAGCUGGUGCAGUCUGGGUCUGAGGUGAGGAGACCUGGGUCCACAGUAAAGGUCUCCUGCAAGGCCUCUCGAUACACCUUCACCAGCAACGGUGUCCACUGGGUCCGACAGGCCCCAGGACAAAGGCUUGAAUGGAUAGGGUGGGUUUACACCUCUUUUGAUAUUCCAUACUAUGCACAGAAGUUCCAGGGCAGAGCCACCUUUACCACAGACAAGUCCACAAGCACAGCCUACUUGGAACUGAAGAGCCUGAGAACCGAAGACAUGGCCAUGUAUUACUGUGCAAGUGGCAUAGUAAAGAGCAUCACCCUCAUCCACACUCUGCCCUACAGAAGUCCUAUUGGCAAAGCCCUUCACUAUGUGAUAGAACUAGAGAGCCCUCUACUUGGUGGCAUGGGUCCAGAUGGGAAGAUGCACUCCAGGAUGACUGACAGUGCCCUGAAACUCAACAUGGCCCUGAAGGAUGGAUAG